CGAUGUAUCCUUCCUCUGUUAUACUGCAGUCUGAAAGUCUCAGUGUCUCCAGUUUACAGUUUGGACUCUUCAGUCCAGCACAAAGCUGCUUCACUCCUGAGUCCUCCAGAAGAUUACUGCUCAGAUCCACCUCAGUCAGCUUGGAGGAUUCUGAGCUGAGAACUGUGUGUAAAGACCUGCAGCUUCUCUCUGUCAGGUUACACUCACUGAGC